rnacentral:rRNA from 1 species
GACGAACGCUGGCGGCGUGCUUAACACAUGCAAGUCGAACGGUAAGGCCCUUCGGGGUACACGAGUGGCGAACGGGUGAGUAACACGUGGGUGAUCUGCCCUGCACUUCGGGAUAAGCCUGGGAAACUGGGUCUAAUACCGGAUAGGACCACUGCCUGCAUGGGUGGUGGUGGAAAGCUUUUGCGGUGUGGGAUGGGCCCGCGGCCUAGCAGCUUGUUGGUGGGGUGAUGGCCUGACAAGGCGACGGCGGGUAGCCGGCCUGAGAGGGUGACCGGCCACACUGGGGCUGCGAUACGGCCCAGACUCCAACGGGAAGCAGCAGGAGGGAAUAUUGCACACUGGUCGCAAGCCUGAUGCAGCGACGCCGAGUGAGGGAUGGCGGCCUUCGGGUUGUAAACCUCUUUCAGCACCGACGAAGCGCAAGUGACGGUAGGUGCAGAAGAAGGACCGGCCAACUACGUGCCAUCCGCCGCCGUAA